GAGGGCAUAGCUUAGUGGUAGAGCACAUGCUUAGCAUGCACAAGGUCCUGGGUUCAAUCCCCAGUACCUCCA
rnacentral:tRNA from 1 species